CGGUCUCACAGGAGCUGACACAGGAGCAGCCUCUGAAGAGCUCAUCCAAGUGAGAAAAGACAGUCACUCUGUCCCUGGGCCCACACCUGCUAACAACACCCACCAAGGACUUGAGAAGGCUGACCAGAACUGGCAUACCACCUGCCCCAUGCAGCAUUUGGAUCAAGAGCAGCUAGCAUCAGAUUCCCAAAGACAGGUGUUGGAAAGCCUAUGGGAGAUAAUUACAAAGCCACCAGUCUAGGAGGAAUCUCUGUCCUGAAUGUGAAGAGGACCACCAACUCACCAUGUGCACGACGCCGGUCACACCAACAACUUCUAGCAGGCCGUCAUCAAUGCGUGGUUUCUCAAAGCGGUUAUCGCUCUCAGACCCCCAGAGAUCGGCUCCGG